GCGCGAUAAUUUGCCCUUUAAUUGGGGGAUGGUAUGAAUGGGUUAACGUAGAUAAGCUGUGUCAUGAGGGUUGAUUGAAAUUAUUUUUAAAGUGAAGAAACUUUAAUAAUGAAGAAAGACGACAAGACCCUAUGAAGCUUUAAAGAUAGGUAUAAUAAUUUUAUAUCUUACUUUUGAUGGGGAAUUAUUCUAAAUAUGUUUUAGAGUUUAAUAUAAUCUCACAGGACUAAUCUGCUUUAGCCAAUUAGAUUAGCUACUCUAGGGAUAACAGCGAAAUUUUUCUCGAUAGAAGGUAUUG
rnacentral:rRNA from 1 species